rnacentral:tRNA from 1 species
GGGGUUGUAGCCUAUAGUGGUUAGAGCCUCAGACUCACGACUUGAAGGUCGGAAGUUCAAUUCCCGAUCCCA